CGACUAAAAGGGCACAAGUUGGUACGAACUAUAAUGGUAGUAGCCUGCGAAGAGUAAUUCUUUAGGAUAUUUUUUAAAAUUCUGUUGAGACAACUGUUCCUGUCAACCAAUCACGCUGAUCGAUGUCGAAAGGCAAUUCACUGCUCGUAUAAAAACGGAAAAUUUUCUCGAAAAACUUCUGUCACAUUUGUGUCCGAAGGAUAUCAAGUUGUUGCUAAAAUGGAAGAACAAGAUCAAGUUAAUGUAUGCAGUUUUGGAUGUACUGAUUCCUCAUGCCAUUUAACGACAUACGGGUGAAGUUACAACAUUGCUAUUGACUUGAUUGUUUUAAGAGACGUCUCCUCUACAACACCAACUGAGGUGGUGCAGUGGUAGCACACUGGACCCACAUUCAGGACGACGAUUGUUCAAAAUAGCAUCUGGUCAUCCUGAUUUAGGUUUUUCAUAAUUUCCCUAAAUCAUUUCAGGCAAAUGCUGGGUGGUUCCUUUGAAAGGACACGGCCAAUUUCAUUCCUUAUCCGAUGACCUCACUGUUUGAUCCCCUCCCCCCAAAUCAGUCAAUCAAUCAGUUAGUCCUCUACAACAUUGUUUAUAACCAAAAUACCCUAAAUUCCAAAAUAACUAAUUGAAAUUACCUCCAAAUUUGGUAUUGAAAAGUUAGAAAAUCUACUUUUUAGACCCAAGAAUAACAACCAGGAAGUGACUUACCGGAGUGUAUUUUUUCCUCUAGUUGGAUAUCAUAAACUAUUAGCCUUACAUAGAGCAAGAACACUGACAAAUGUUUCCCUAAUUUUUUAUAAUUUUUUUAAAAUUUGAAAACCUUUAUUUUUUGUAAAGUUUGGGGGUAGUUAUCUCUGGAGGGACUGAAUGUAAAAAUUUUGAGUUUUGCACAUUUUGUACACCUGUAUG